UAGGUAGUUUCAUGUUGUUGGGGCUCAAGUCUAUCUCUACAACACGAAACUGCCUGAA
rnacentral:pre_miRNA from 1 species